rnacentral:rRNA from 1 species
GACGAACGCGGCGGCGUGCUUAACACAUGCAAGUCGAACGAAGAGCGACGGAAGCUUGCUUCUAUCAAUCUUAGUGGCGAACGGGUGAGUAACGCGUAAUCAACCUGCCCUUCAGAGGGGGACAACAGUUGGAAACGACUGCUAAUACCGCAUACGAUCUAAUCUCGGCAUCGAGGAUAGAUGAAAGGUGGCCUCUACAUGUAAGCUAUCACUGAAGGAGGGGAUUGCGUCUGAUUAGCUAGUUGGAGGGGUAACGGCCCACCAAGGCGAUGAUCAGUAGCCGGUCUGAGAGGAUGAACGGCCACAUUGGGACUGAGACACGGCCCAGACUCCUACGGGAGGCAGCAGUGGGGAAUCUUCCGCAAUGGACGAAAGUCUGACGGAGCAACGCCGCGUGAGUGAUGACGGCCUUCGGGUUGUAAAGCUCUGUUAAUCGGGACGAAAGGCCUUCUUGCAAAUAGUGAGAAGGAUUGACG